UUCUAUUUGAUUAGUUUACAAAUAGUAUAGCCUGCUCAAUGAUUUAUUGUUAAAUAGCCGCGAUUAUUAUCGUGCAAAGGUAGCAUAAUAACUUGUCCUUUAAUUGAGGUCUAGAAUGAAAGGUUGAACGAUGAAUUAACUUUUUUAAUUUGAAUAUUAAGAAUUUUAUUUUUUGGUUAAAAAUCCAAAAUUUAUUUAUGGGACGAUAAGACCCUAUAGAAUUUAAGUAUUUUUAUUUAAAUAUUUUAUUUUGAUUGUUAAUUAAUCUGUAUAAAUAUAAUACUUUAGUUGGGGUGACUUUUAUAUAAAAUUAACUAUAAUUUUUAUUUUUCAUUAAUUAAUGAAUUAAUGAUCCUAAAUUUUAGAUUAUAAGAUUAAAUUACCUUAGGGAUAACAGCGUAAUUUUCUUGGUAAGUUCUUAUUAAUAGGAAAGAUUGCGA
rnacentral:rRNA from 1 species